rnacentral:rRNA from 1 species
CCUACGGGAGACUGCAGUGAGGAAUAUUGGUCAAUGGACGAGAGUCUGAACCAGCCAAGUAGCGUGAAGGAUGACUGCCCUAUGGGUUGUAAACUUCUUUUAUAUGGGAAUAAAAUGUUCCACGUGUGGGAUUUUGUAUGUACCAUAUGAAUAAGGAUCGGCUAACUCCGUGCCAGCAGCCGCGGUAAUACGGAGGAUCCGAGCGUUAUCCGGAUUUAUUGGGUUUAAGGGGAGCGUAGGUGGAUUGUUAAGUCAGUUGUGAAAGUUUGCGGCUCAACCGUAAAAUUGCAGUUGAAACUGGCAGUCUUGAGUACAGUAGAGGUGGGCGGAAUUCGUGGUGUAGCGGUGAAAUGCUUAGAUAUCACGAAGAACUCCGAUUGCGAAGGCAGUUCACUGGACUGCAACUGACACUGAGGCUCGAAAGUGUGGGUAUCAAACAGGAUUAGAUACCCGAGUAGUC